GCGGCAGCGCCAGCAACAGCU
rnacentral:miRNA from 2 species